GCCGAACGCUGGCGGCGUGCUUAACACAUGCAAGUCGAACGGAAAGGCCCUGCUUGCAGGGUACUCGAGUGGCGAACGGGUGAGUAACACGUGGGUGAUCUGCCCUGCACUUCGGGAUAAGCCUGGGAAACUGGGUCUAAUACCGGAUAUGACCUUCCAUGUAGUGUGGGGGGUGGAAAGAUUUAUCGGUGUGGGAUGAGCCCGCGGCCUAUCAGCUUGUUGGUGGGGUAAUGGCCUACCAAGGCGUCGACGGGUAGCCGGCCUGAGAGGGUGGACGGCCACAUUGGGACUGAGAUACGGCCCAGACUCCUACGGGAGGCAGCAGUGGGGAAUAUUGCACAAUGGGCGGAAGCCUUAUGCAGCGACGCCGCGUGGGGGAUGACGGCCUUCGGGUUGUAAACCUCUUUCGACAGGGACGAAGCUUCGGUGACGGUACCUGUAGAAGAAGCACCGGCUAACUACGUG
rnacentral:rRNA from 1 species